CCGAAUUGGGAACCAGCUGUUUCACGUAGAUGUAAUACACUGGGCGAACUCGGAUGACAUUUGCUUUCCCACAGUGUCUAACCGUGUAAUCUAUGUGUCCUGGAAACAUUCGGGUAGACGCGUUAUAAAUCAACAGCAGGAGUCGCGAUGAAACUUUGAACGGUAUGAAUUUCGCAUAAAGCGACAUCAGAGAAUCGUAUGUGAAUGUACACAGAUAGACGUCUGGUAAUAUGUAUCUUUUAUAUAGGUAUGUAUCUUUUAUAUAUUAACAUAUAUAUAACCUCUAAAUAAACCGUCAGUUUACCGUUAGGAGACUUUCCUAUAGCAUUUUCAAUUGACUGGAUUUACUCCAUCGGCUGUAAAGUGUAAUACCGUGCUUGUUGAAAUAUAUGUAUUCCAGUCUAAAGGAAGAUAACGAUUUAGCUUAGCGUGUUUUUCUAAUUGAAAUACAUUUAAACUAAGUUUCGCAGCGUAACGACAAGCCUCAUUGUACAUACAGCGUAUAACCAACAAACCAGGAGCGCAUGGAAUCAAACAGCAAAUGUAGAAGGGAAUACCAAGGGAAUACAAGGUAGAGAUUAGGAGGGGAAUGAUUUUCAGUGAAAGGAGGGUAAUAUCAUUACGCAAGGCUCACUCUACAAAGAGCAGCACGUAUCGAUGUGUCACUUCGUAAAUGCCUUCGGAUAUCCUUGGGUGCUUUUAAAGGAUCAAUUUACAGUCUUGUGAAAAUUGGGAGAUGAAAGUUAGGUUAGGUCGGACUGAUUUAUUCAUAAAUUUUCGUGGCGAGCACAGUGCGGAAUGAAGUAUCGUCCGUUAAGAAUCCUCUUUGCCAAGCUUGCGACUGUCGCUGGUAAAUGUUUUCACGGACUCUUCCGGUCACAUUUUCAUUUUUUUUUAUUUACCCCUAGUAAACGCGACUCUCUGGCUGGUCGGAAGUGGUGGCCCUCUUGUCACUAGGGCGAAACGGAAUGGCCUCAUUCUGCAAGACACGAUAUUGCUGCGUGUUACCAAAGCAACGAGGACCCUCAGCGCUACGGAUAUGACAUUCAAUGAAAAAUACUCAUGACGUAUUACACUGCACUUGGAUAUCCAUUAAUUUAUUGCUGCAAAACAGGAGGGAAACGCUUUCGCAUCGUCAUGGAUGACGUGUAUUAUAUAAAACAUGAAUAACAUAUGAAAUGGAAACGAGUACAAUUAACGCGUUGGCGAAGCUGUCAUCGUCAACUAGUAUCCAGAAGAAACGAUUAUCGGAAGAGGAUAAAUGGCGUGUACCGAAGGAAGCAAGGCAAUAAGUUUGAACCAGAACGCAAUUAAUUUUCUCGUAAAAUCAGAGAAAUAAAGCAAGAGUAUUUCCUUUGAGCGUAGCGUCGCGAGGAGUUAAUAAAGUAAAAAUGGAGAGGAGUAAGGGAAGAGGAAAGAAAUGAGUAAAAUUAAAUAAGAAGAUUGACGAAGGUUAUAAAUCCCGUGUACCAAGGUAAAACACGUAUGGGUAAUCACUUUUGGUAUCCAGAGAGUGACUUUCUGUGUAACCCCAACGAUAUAGAUAAGAUAGCCACGAUAAUUCAAAAGUAACCCAGGUUCACCAUCAGUCAGUCCUGAAGGAUAGACAAGCCAAGGGUACUUGGAUGCUUUGGACACUCGCACGAAAUAUGCUUAGGCGUUGAGGAAACCUGGCCAAGGAUUCUCGGAGAGUUGGAUGACUUCAGUUUACCCAUGCUGUGUGUGUACAGUGACAGCCUACUACUGACAACUCUCUUAGUACUAAUUGCUAAGUACAGUUACUGGAACAGCAAGUAAAGGCUUGUCCGACUUGUUCCGCCAUUUGCAGAACGUGUUUCCAGGUACUUCUGUCUAUGCUCAUGAAGUGGAGGCACAAGCUCAGUGACCUGAUUUCUUUCUGGAUCUUGUGCCUUGACGUUGAACCGUACGACCUGCGGAUGUAAAAAUUGGACAAAGUGAAUCCUGAAGAUGAUGAUACGAUGUCGUGUCCUUGCAUCCUUCACUCUCCGGGAAAUGCGAGAAUAGAACUGCGUUACCAGGAGCUAUAGCAACAGCAGGAAAGAAUGAGUUUCCCACGGUCAUUAAGGAAGAUGAACAAAGCCUCAAUGAGAGGCUGCAAGCACGAAGACUCUUAUGUCGAAGAAUUGUGGUUCUUCGUUCGUUGGUCCAGGGAAGUGCAUCCGUGUAGUAGCUGUCAUUAAGGAGCUGCAAUCAAGGCGGUACCUCCUCAGGGUGAUGCCCUCGUUGAAUUUCUGGAGUGGAAAAGAGUUUUAGCUAAACGAAGUUUUGCACUGCCGGAUGAAGAUGAGAAGAGAUUAGAGGAUGAUUCGAUAACACAUCAGUGGGCCAAAGGGGUGACUUUUGAAAAUCGCAGAACCGUGCUCCCAGCCUGGAGCCAUUAGACUUAAUCACAGACUGCGUGCAUUCUAGUAAAGGAGUGCAUUCCAGAAUUCUUUAAUAGAUUUUGCCGCUACUGAAAAUUCAAUGUUUUAGAUUGGAGCUUUCUGACUUAACGAAGCGAAAUAGAGUGAACGGUGCCAUUCUGAAUGACAUUUCUAGUAAUUUUAAAACACGCUAGUAGAGAGAAAUUCUAGUCAUCCAUUUUCAAUCCUCUACCCAGAAAUCAGUAAUAGGAACAUUUACAGACCUAUCAAUAGUUGAACUAAGAAUUGGAAGUGAUAACAAAUAUUUUUUCAUAACACACAGAGAUUCGUGAACAGGUUACAAUUUCGUGUCAGAUUGUAAAGUCUGUCCAGUAAAAUGACUUCCCAAAAAAAAAAAAAAAAA